GGGCCCGUAGCUCAGACGGUAGAGCAGCAGACUUUUAAUCUGUUGGUCGUGGGUUCGAUUCCCGCCGGGCUCA
rnacentral:tRNA from 1 species